GACGAACGCUGGCGGCGUGCCUAAUACAUGCAAGUCGAGCGGGGAUGCAGCUGGAAGCCCUUCGGGGUGGAAGGCGGCAUCCUAGCGGCGGACGGGUGAGUAACGCGUGGGGAACCUACCCUCAACCCCGGGAUAACCUGGGGAAACCCGGGCUAAUACCGGAUGAGGCCAACGGGCCGCAUGGCUGGUUGGUCAAAGGGUUUACCGGUUGAGGAUGGCCCUGCGUCCCAUCAGCUAGUUGGUAGGGUAACGGCCUACCAAGGCGACGACGGGUAGCCGGCCUGAGAGGGUGACCGGCCACACUGGCACUGAGACACGGGCCAGACUCCUACGGGAGGCAGCAGUAGGGAAUCUUGCGCAAUGGGCGAAAGCCUGACGCAGCGACGCCGCGUGAGGGAAGAAGGCCUUUGGGUCGUAAACCUCUGUCGGAGGGGACGAAGGACUGACGGUACCCUCCAAGGAAGCCCCGGCUAACUAC
rnacentral:rRNA from 1 species